rnacentral:lncRNA from 1 species
AUGCCUAAUUCAAGCAAAGGUCUUAAGGGUCUGGAAAAUACCAUGUUUCAAAUAAAAGCUUGUUUAAGUUCCACAAGCACAAGGGAGGGAAGGCAGUUCAAACUGGUACCCAUGAAUCUCACUCAAGCUUCAUGGUCUACUUGUGUUAUUCUGACCAUUAGAAGCAACACAUACUCCCACUGCAGUGAAGAACUGCAUAGAGGAAAAGCCAUCAUGGGCCACAGGAGAUUUGAUAUUUUGGUGUCCAAGAUUCCACUGGAGUCUUCAGGUGCCACUGCUAGGGAUCUUCUGAAUCAAAUGUUCAGGUAAAGAUGUCUGAGACAUAUGGUCUGUACUGCUGUCACAGGUUUUCUAGCAGUAGCUGAAAGGUGAGAUUUGUUUUGUUUUGUUUUUCUUGUUUGUUUUUUUUUCUUUUUUUUUUGGCAUGGAAUGGAAGAAAAUAUUUGUUUUCAAACAAUUCAGUAAAUGAGAAGACAAGAAUUUAAAAUGUUGAAUAAAAAAGCAUAUAAAGUCA